rnacentral:lncRNA from 1 species
GGCUACAGGAAAGUUGCAAUUAAAAUGAAAAAGGUCGACACGGUGAACGUCAAGAGUCAAGCUUGUCUCGGCCAUGUAAUUGAGCAGCUAAUCUUGACAGGUCGCGUCGAGAUGCCUGUAAAAAUAUCUUUUACCAAACCUAAGUUUGGGCAAGCUUCCCUUGGCGCAAAGCGCAGGUAAGCCAUUCCGCAGAUCGAGAGCUAACAUGGAAUCACUAACACAAGCUUGGUCUAUUACGAAGGACCGGCGCUUGUGAAUUCCUGUUUUCAAUCUCCACGAGACGACUCAUCAGGCGACCCACGGACCCUCCGUCCCAUCCGUGUCUCCAUUCUUGACUCCACGUAGCCACAGAACAAAGUUAACCCAUGUUCACGCACAUAGGCACACGAAAAAUCAUCGGAACUAUCCUGUCCAAUUACCAUGGCACGCCUCGUCAACCCGCGCUCAGUAAAGGCACCGCGCGUUGCGGGAUGCCGCAUACCAUUCAAUAACCUUUUCCUCUCGUUUAGUAAUUGGGAAACAGCUCACGAGUCACACGCCCGCUCUCUACCAAGCUACUCUUCCUUGACCUAUUUGGUGGGGAAAAUGUAAAAAAUUCACCAACAAUCGUACGCAUUAGUCUCGACUUCUUGCGGUAGCAGCGCCUCACAUAUUUCCGCAUCGCCCCAAGGGAUCGUCGUCAUCCCUCGGCUACAGCGGCCCAGCGGUGAGCACAGCAAGGUGACCGCACCGCAGCUGAAGAGUUCUGAAGCCAACCCGCCAGCUAGGUGAAGGACUCGGCAGCAAGCUAAUUUAAAGGCCCAGGAAAAACACGUAUUGUUGAGCGAUUUCCAUGUUUCCAUGGUCAGCUGCCGGAUCUGGAGCUCCAUGGCCUCAGGUGCAAAUUGCCAUCGCUCGGUUGUGUUUGCUUGCAGCAAGAGGCCAGCUUCCGGGUUAUGCAGCGCCUCAGCGCCCUUUAUGUGUCAAGCUCGCUCCUACGCGUGCACGUGUGUGUUUCUCCCCCAUGGUCAUCAAGCUGAACACGUCCCCAAUCGUCAGCACAUUGAAAAUUUAUUGCAGUGCAAGGUCAACGACUAGGUCAGCCAACAAAUCCUGGCGUCCACCAACCAACCCCGUGACAAUCUAGCUCAUUUAUCCGCGUCUAGAGUGAUCAAGCACCCGCGAAUUCAGAUAUCGCAGAACAACAGAGCUUCCAGAGGUCUCUUCCCUCACCGCAGGUAUCCGUGGCUGAGUUAUUGAUGAAGCGAAAGUACCUCCAGCCGCGAUUGGUGCGGCCGGCAGCCUGAUUGGCGGACAGAAACUGGCUGUGCCCCGAGCCGCG